UACGGAGGGUGCAAGCGUUAUCCGGAUUCACUGGGUUUAAAGGGUGCGUAGGUGGCUUUGUAAGUCAGUGGUGAAAGCCCGGAGCUCAACUCCGGAACUGCCAUUGAUACUGCUUAGCUUGAAUCAGGUCGAGGUGGAUGGAAUAAUACAUGUAGCGGUGAAAUGCUUAGAUAUGUAUUAGAACACCGAUUGCGAAGGCAGUUCACUAGGCCUGUAUUGACACUGAGGCACGAAAGCGUGGGGAUCAAACAGG
rnacentral:rRNA from 1 species